UUGACUGGGGCGGUACAUCCGUCAAAUGGUAACGCGGGUGUCCAAUGGUGAGCUCAGUCAGGACAGAAACCUGGCGUAUAGUAAAAGGGCAAAAGCUUACUUGAUUUUGAUUUUCAGUACGAAUACAGACCGUGAAAGCGUGGCCUAUCGAUCCUUU
rnacentral:ncRNA from 1 species